AGAGUUUGAUCAUGGCUCAGAACGAACGCUGGCGGCAGGCUUAACACAUGCAAGUCGAACGAACGUAGCAAUACGUUAGUGGCGCACGGGUGAGUAACGCGUGGAUAUCUGCCUUUUGGUUCGGGAUAACCUUGGGAAACUAGGGCUAAUACCGAAUGGUUCCUACGGGAUAAAGAUUUAUCGCCAAAAGAUGAGUCCGCGUCCGAUUAGCUAGUUGGUGGGGUAAUGGCCCACCAAGGCGACGAUCGGUAGCUGGUCUGAGAGGACGAUCAGCCACACUGGGACUGAGACACGGCCCAGACUCCUACGGGAGGCAGCAGUGGGGAAUAUUGGACAAUGGGGGCAACCCUGAUCCAGCCAUGCCGCGUGAGUGAUGAAGGCCUUCGGGUUGUAAAGCUCUUUUGGCGGGGACGAUGAUGACGGUACCCGCAGAAUAAGCCCCGGCUAACUUCGUGCCAGCAGCCGCGGUAAGACGAAGGGGGCUAGCGUUGUUCGGAAUUACUGGGCGUAAAGCGUGUGUAGGUGGUUGUCAUAGUCAGGCGUGAAAGCCUUGAGCUCAACUCAAGAAAUGCGCUUGAUACUGGGCAGCUAGAGGACCGGAGAGGAUAGUGGAAUUCCCAGUGUAGUGGUGAAAUACGUAGAGAUUGGGAAGAACACCAGUGGCGAAGGCGGCUAUCUGGACGGUUUCUGACACUAAGACACGAAAGCGUGGGGAGCAAACAGGAUUAGAUACCCUAGUAGUCC
rnacentral:rRNA from 1 species